GGUGGACAUCCCGCGGGCCGCGAGGCGCUGCUCCGAGCGGCGCGCCAUGUCCGACACGGUCGGCCCGGCGAUGGACUCGUCGUGUCCGCUG
rnacentral:tRNA from 1 species